CAGUAACACCCUCCAAAAAGGCUCCGAGGCCUACACUUCCGGUUCGCCGGGAAGGACACUUCCGCCAGUCCCCCUCGGGCUUCUAGCGUCACAGCUCGACUCUCCCAGGCUGAUCUGAAGGAUUGUGGACUGGCCCUCUGCUUUAAAAAUUUGAGGACCCCUGCUCUACUGUAUCUACAGACCCACAAAGAAAAUCCAGCCCUGUCUGUUGGAGGCAAGUGUGAAUGUUGCAAUUGGCCACCUUGUUUCAUUUAUCCACAAAUGGCAAACAUAUAGUCUCUAGGCUUAUAUAUUUGUCUAUUUAUCUAUCAUUGUAGAUAUAUAUGUAUAUAAUUACAAUUAACAUUUUAUAUCUCUACCAUCUUUGUGGGAUCACAGUUUCAUUUAUCUACGAAUGGCAAAAAUAUCGUUUCUAGGCAUAUGUAUUUAUAUAUGUGUGUGUAUAAUUUGAUAUAUAAUAGGAAAUAAUUGCAAUUAAAAUUUAAUCCAUAUAUAAAUAUUAAAAUAGCACCCACUUUUGUGGAACCAAUACUUGCCGUAAAACUGAUACAAUAUUAUUGUUGUUGUUCUUGUUGGUCCCAUUAGAAAUAUACAUGGCUCUCUGGAUGCUGGAUACACAUGGGCCUUUGGAUGUAGGUGGAACACAGCUCCCAUCAUCUUUGUUGUAUAUAGUGUAUGUAUGUGUAUAUAUCCUGUGUGUGCGUAUAUGUGUGUGUGUGUGUGUGUAUUGUGUGUGUGUAUAUAUAUAUAUAUAUAUAUAUAGAUAAACUUUUUGUUUGUGUUAGCUUAUUGUGGUUUUUUGUACAUUUGUAUGUAGAUUUUGUAUUAAUUUGUCUAAAUAAAAUGAUUAAAGCUCAUACAUACAAAUAUAUUUUCAGUAUAUAGUAUGUAUGCAUGCAUGUAUAUAGUGUAUGUAUCUAUGUCUAUAUAUAGUGUAUGUAUAUGUUUAUAGUGUAUGUAUGUGUGUAUAUAGUGUAUGUAUGUAUAUAUGUAGUAUAUGUGUGUGUGUGUGUGUGUGUAUAUGUGUAUAUAUAUACAUACACACACACACAUAUACAUAUAUAUAUUGUGUGUGUGUUCCAACCCUGCCCAUAUUCAAAGUUGGCCAUGUUUGGUAUAAGUGCCAAGUUUGGUCCAGGUGCAUUGUUGUUUGGGUUCAUAAUGCUCUUUGGAUGCAGAGUGAACCACAAUUCCUGCCAUGUUGGGUCAGCCCCCCCCCCCCAACCCCUCCGGUAUGUUAUAUUGGUCAUGAAGAGGGAGGUGUCUGUGUGCCAAGUGUGGUCCAUCAUCGGUGGAAAUCAUAGGGCUCUCUGGAAAUGGGAGCCAAUAGGAAAUUGGCCACAAACAUAUAUACAAACAUACAUCAUUUCUAUUAUAUACUAGCUUAGGUACCCAGCAAUGCCUGGGUUAGGUCUUUUGCAAAGGAUAAAGAUUAGAAUUAGUUGUUGUUUGUUUUGGGUUUUAGAAAAUGGGUCCCAUUAGAAAAUAUAUACAGAUAAGGUUGGGCUGCAACUCGCAUCAUUCUUUGUCAUUUCCCCCAAACUCUGCCAGUAUGUAAAGUAGCCACUGUGUGUGAAGUGUGGUCCAGAUCCAUUGCUGAUACAAUUUGCAGUGAUCUCUAGAUGUAGGUGUAUGUACAGCAACUCCCAUCAUCCAGGGUCCACCCACUCACCAUACUGGUUUUGUCCAAAGUCAUUUUCUUAGUGGAAGCACUAGUCUUUUCCUAUAGAUUUCCUCUUGCUGUCACUUCUCAAAGGGCCGCUUGGUGUCAGUCCAGGCUUUUGAUCAAACAACUCAGAUCCAGGAACCCUGCCUUUGGAUCAGUCUGUCAAAAGACCCUGUUAAAUGCUGGUUUGGAAUCAAGGGGAUUUCCAAACAUGCCUCGCCUUCCUCCUCCUGAAUAACUUGGAAGUUUGGUCUUGUUGGGAGCUAAAACUGAGUUAAUAGAAACUAAAGCAACGGCUCAAGUGAGUCAUCUCAAUUACAGUGAGUCAGAGAGCCUUUGCCUCCAACCACCUAUAAACACCUAUGAAAAUAUUCCGUUUUCUAGGUGUAACCCUCUCUCCUUAAGACUUUCCCCUGCUUUGAGAUGGUGACAUUUGUUGGACGUCAAAAAUGUUCUUAUUCUUUGGUUAUUGUAUCCCAGGAUGCUUUAACUGUUAAAGUGGUAUCAAAGUGCAAUAACUCAACCAUGUAGAUGCAUCCCUGUGAUGCACCAGCACUCUUUGGCAUAGAAAAGGCUCAAUACCUUGUUAACUACAACUCCCAGGAUCUUGUUGCAUUGAGCCGUAACGUGACAUGAAUCCUCAGUAGGGAUGAACCCGAUGGCUCCCAUGAUAUGUGUUAAAAGUGCACUGACUUCCAAUAUUUGCAGCAUCAUUUGAGUGAGGGAGGAAAUAAAAGUACUUUUGGAUCUAAAACUUUGAAGAUUAAGAGUUUGUAGUCCAAGUCCUGGUUUUGGGGUUUUCCUUUUUGGUAAAGUUGGUUUGGCAGAGAGAUGCAAGCCUUCCCAACCCAUGUGCCACUUAGAGAAAUUAGGCGCAGUGCUGCCACAACUACCGCAGAAUGUGCCAAAUCAUGCCUCUUGGAGCACAUGCCUCAUUCUCCUUGUAUAAACAGAGAACGCCUAACAGAGAAUAGCUGGGUUAGGCACAGAGAACGGGAGUGGUAGCCUUAGUCAUUCAGUUGCAAUGCACUGAAUCAUAAGGAUUGCCCAACUUCCUAUCCACUGGAAGAAGAGGAGCCAAGAUUCUGGAUAAAAUAGCCUCUCCCUGGUGAUGGGAUCCUGGGAGUUGGGGUUUGGCAAGAAUACAACGGAUCUGUUCAACCUAUGGGUGCAUUGAUGUAGGAUUGAUGCAGUCUGAUCUGACUUUAACUGCCUUGGCUCAAUGCCAGAGAGCUCUGGGAGUUGUAGUUUGGUGAGGCUCCAGGCUAAAGGCCUUCCAAAAAUUCAACUCCCUGGAGCCCAUUGCACUGAGCCAUGACAGUCUCAAGUGGUGCCCAGUGUACAUGCACCACUAGAUAAAUAGAUGACAGCGAUUGAUUUCUUGAUUGAUUGACUGCUAGAUAGUUGAUACCGGUAUAUGAUAGAGAUAAAUAGGUGAGAUAACUAACUAGAUAGAUGAUAGAAAUAGAUUGUAGUGAAAGACAUAGACAGAUAGAUGAGAGUGAUAGAUGGAUGAAAGAUAAAUAAAGAUAGGAUAGCUAGAUGGUAGUGGUAGACAGAGUAUAGUGAUAGAUGGAUAAUAAAUGGACUAGAAUGAAGAAGGCGGGGCCGGGAAGACAUCUUUCCACUAUGUGUCCUAUAUCAAUUCAAUGAUAUAAUAAUAUAUAAUACUAUUAUACUAUAUUAAUAUUAUAAUAUGUUGUAUUUACAUGUAAUAUUAAUAAUAAUUAUGAUGUAAUACAAUGUAAUAAUAAUUAUAAUUCACUAUUAUAAUUGUAUAUUUAUAUUACAUGCAAUAUUACUAAUAAUAUUGCAAUAUAUUAUCAUAUAAUACAUUGUAUGUAUAUAUACUUGUAAACCGCCCUGAGUCCCCUUCGGGGUGAGAAGGGCGGGAUAUAAAUGUCGCAAAUAAAUAAAUAAAUAAAAGGUAGCUAGAUGAUAGCAAUAGGUAGAUGAUAGAGAUAGAUAGUGAAUGAUACAAGACAGACAGAUGAUAGCAAUAGAUAGAUGGAGGAUAGUGAUAGAUGGGUGACAGAGAGCAAUGAGAUAGCUAGAUGAUUGAGAUAAUGGAUGAUAGAUACAGAGAGACAGCAAUAGAUGAUAGUGACAGACAGAUGAUAGAAAGAGGUAGAUGGAUAGAGGUUAGAGAUAUAUGAUAGAUAGCUAGCUAGAUGAUAUCAAAGAGAGAGAGAGAGAGAUGUGAUAGAUACGAUAGAUCUGCUCAUCUAGCAGAUUGAAAAUAGAAAUCCAAGUAGAUAAAUAGGUACCACUUUUAGUGGGGAGGUAAUAAAUGUCGGAAAUAACAUGGGAAAAACUGCCUUUACCUCUGUUGUAAUGUCUGUCCUUGUCAAUUGUAUAAUUGGCAUUGAAUGUUUACCGUAUGUAUGUUCUGUGAGCCGCUCUGAGUCCCCUUCAAGGUGAGGUGGGUAGAGUAUAAAGACUGUAAAUAAAUAGAUAGAACGAACACACCAGGUCCUUUAGCAAUUCCAAGCUGAAUAGCUUCCCUAAUUUAUUUCCAUGAUGUAUUUCCUUCUGUUUAUGCAGAGAACAAUACCAGUGCUUCUAAAGUAAUAUCUGUGGUCCCUACCCCCGGAAUGGGAGCAUCCGUUUCCAUUUGGCUCAAUUGGCCCUUCAUUCGGAAGAUGUCCCCGUUAGCAAGAAAAAAACAGUGGAAAUUAAUUCUGCUGUGUAGAUGCACCCACAGAUCCCGAUUUCUUUCGUAUGGAUUUCUGCCCAAACCCUUAAGAAUGCAAUAAACAAGAUGUGCCAUUGCUAGAUUCCAAAAUAUAGAAAAUAUCCUCCCACCCAGGUUGCAAGAUAACAUGGAUUUAUAUCAGAUACAACCUUCUAUCUGUGGCUUGAUCUACACAGCAUUAUUUGGUCAAUAUGGACUCAUAUAACACAGUUUAAACUGCAUUAUAUGGGUCUACACUAAACAUAUAAUGCAGUUCCAAACUAUGUUUUAACUACAUUGUGACCCACCUUGAGUCAUGACAAGAGGCAGGUAAGAAAUAAUAAUAGUAAUAAUAACAAUAAUAAAUACUUAGUAUUAUUUGUAAUAUUUUUUUUUUUUUCGUGUCAGGAGCAACCUGAGUCGCUUCUGGUGUGAGAGAAUUGGCCGUCGGCAAGGACGUUGCCCAGGGGAUGCCCGGAUGUUUUUUUGAUGUUUUUACCAUCCUUGUGGGAGGUUUCUCUCAUGUCCCCGCACGGAGCUGGAGUUGAUAGAGGGAGCUCAUCCGCGCUCUCCCCUGGUGAGAUUCGAACCUGGCAGCCUUCAGGUCAGCAACCCAACCUUCAAGUCAUAUAAUAUAAUUAGUCAUAUAAUUAGUACAGUAUUAUUAAUAUAAAUUAAUAAUACUGUGCUAAUACUAUUUAUUAAUAGUAUUAAAUGCUAAUACUAAUACUGCUACUGCUAAUAAUAAUCAUAAUAAUAAUAAGGCAGUGUAGAUCUAUCCUAAGUAUAAUUUCUUCCCCUCUAAAGUCGUUCCAAACUUGCAACUCAUCAACCGGAGACUUGAAAAAGUAAAUUCCUAUUUAUUAAAUGUGUCCAUAAUGGGUCAUUUUAAAAAAAAACAUAAAGGAGAGGAUUUUGUACACUUUAUUAAAAGAUCCAGGAGAAAAAAAAAGAAAACAAAACAAUAACAAGAUAGAAGUAACAUAGUAAAAUGAGUCACGUUAUGCACAUUUCUAGAAAGCACAAACAAGCACUACGGCAAUAUAAAUGUGGCAAAAAGGAAAAGAAACCCAAAGCAUACAGACCCCGUUGAUAGCAGCUGAGGAGGGGGGGUGCUUUAAGGGUCGGACUCCUCCAAACCUGUGGACGUGCGCCCGGAAGUCUCCGGGAUGGAGGCAAACACAAUGGGGUCCCCACCCGAAUGGCUUGAAUUUAAGGGUGUCCAAAAUGCCUAUCCCAAUAACACCCCUCGGUUUUGAACAGUGUGCCAAUGCUUCUUUCCCAUUCAAAACCCAUGGGGGAAGGUACUACUAGGCUUGUGUUUUAUUUUACAGUGGUCAAUGCGUUAUUCCAAAACGAACCUUUCCAUGUCAAAGAUUGCCAACCAAAAGGAAACAGAAAAUCCUCUUUGAAAACCAAUUUGUUUGGAUUUUAGAGUAACAUGUAAUUAGAGAUAUAUGUUUGUUCCAAUAAACUGUGAAAUCUGGCUCCAUAAAACCGUCCAUGCAGUCCGUUUUAAACUGUGGAUUUAAGCUGCCGUUUAACUGAUUUUAAUGAGUUUUGAUCCUAGGUCUGCAUGUAUUUUAAUGGUUUUAUAUUUUUAUCAAUGUAGUUUUCCCUCACUUAUCGCGGGGGUUAGGUUCCAGGACCACCCGCAAUAUGUGAAAAUCCACGAAGUAGGGACACUAUAUUUAUUUUAAUAUUAAUACAUUAUUUUAAUAGUUAUACACUAUUUUAAGUCUUUAUCAACCAGUUGUGUGUUGAUAAAUCACCUCUUUCUCCUCCCGUUGCUGCUUGGGCUCCUUUUCUCUCCCUUCGGCUUCUCCUUCUUCCCUUCAUUAGGCUGUAAAUUGUAAUUUUUUAUUAUUUAUAAUAGUCUUUUAGAGUUUAUUGAAAAACUGCGAAACAGCGAAUCCACAAAAAGUGAACUGCGAAGUAGUGAGGGAACACUGUAUUUUAAGUAUGUUACAGUAGAGUCUCACUUAUCCAACACUCGCUUAUCCAACGUUCUGGAUUAUCCAACGCAUUUUUGUAGUCAAUGUUUUCAAUAUAUCGUGAUAUUUUGGUGCUAAAUUCAUAAAUACAGUAAUUACUACAUAGCAUUACUGCGUAUAGAACUAUUUUUUCUGCCAAAUUUGUUGUCUAACAUGAUGUUUUGGUGCUUAAUUUGUAAAAUCAUAACCUAAUUUGAUGAUUAAUAGGCUUUUCCUUAAUGUCUCCUUAUUAUCCAACAUAUUCGCUUAUCCAACAUUCUGCCGGCCCGUUUAUGUUGGAUAAGUGAGACUCUACUGUAUACUUAAAAUAGAGGCGGGUAAGAAGUUUAAUAAUAAUUAGCCAAUUCAGAACAUGAACUCCUUAUUUUCCUGCUGUGAAAGUGUAAACUCAAAACAUACAAUGUGACCAAAUUGAUAAAACUUUCCAUUAUGUUGUUGUUUUUUCAAAAAGGAUUAUCUGAGGUUGGCAAAGGGAUAGUUUGCUUUACGAAGCAAAAUAUUGGGAUCAGUGGGGGGAAUUGGGGAUUUGGUGCACCCAAAUUGGACUUAAGAGCACGACUCAACACUUCUCAUUUUAAAUUUAUUUUUCUUUAAGCAAACUAAACAAAAAAAUCCCCAUGUUAUACGUGUCUAUUUAAAUGGUAAAUCCCAUUGAAUGGUAAAUCCCAAUGAGGUUGACUCCUAGGAAAAAGUGUCAUUGGAUCAAAAUGUCGACCUCUUACUUCCGACAAUGGGAUUUGCAUUGGCAUCCGAAUUUUGGCAGAAUUAUCCUCAUCUUUGGGGCUUUACAGUUUUAAAGAUGGCGGAUUCGGGUGACGAUCCCCACCCUCUCUCCACUUUUUGUGAGCGGUCAUGUUCCCCCCCCCCUCCCCAGCUGCUAGGACACAAGCGCCAUGGCAACAAAAUCAUUUUGGCUUCCACCACGAUCAAAUAGCAUCUGUGUACAGUAAUAAAGAUCUGGAACCUUGUAAUUAUUCCACGUCAGGUAAUUUCCCUCUGUUGUGUGUUUUGGAAAAAGACCCACUUGGUUUUUCAUCCUUGCAAUUGCUGUGUUGUUGUUGGUUUGGUUUUUGCAUGUGUGUUGUUGUUGUUGUUUUUUGGCUGCCUUCUCUGGAGGCAUGUGCCUUUUCUGGAUUAUUGAAAAUAUGGCGGUCAAGGUCACCAGCAAAA